UGUUCCUUCUUCUGCUGUCCUCCUGAUGAAUAACACGUGGAAAACGUGUCCUCAAAGGGUAGCCUCAUUGGGAUAGGCUACACUUUCCUACCUUUUUCUUCCCUGUCCAUCAUCUCUUCACUGGAAUGAUCCAAAACAAUCCCGCAGACUCGUCGAUUAACCAGGAUCACGCGUCGUAUUAUUGGAUGUACUGGUAAAACAGACAUAGCUAAAACU